AGGCUACUGGAGGAAGCAGCUGGAUCACGUGUGUGCCCACCUGAGGAGUCACGCCCAGAACAACGGGGCCUUCAGGGCCCUGCUGGGAGAGCCGCGGAUGGGCAGGGUGGUUUCUGCCUUGAUCCAGGAAGACCGCCACGAAGUCAGCGUGACGGUCAGCUUUGUGUCGGCCGCACGGGAAGAACCACAGGUGGGUCCAGCAGCGGACGGUGUUGGUCCUGCAGGUCGGACCGAGACUCUGAGCAGCGUCACAGAGAGAUCUGCAGGUUGGACACUAGUCUAGUC